rnacentral:lncRNA from 1 species
ACCAUGUUCGAAGAUUUGCCCGACUUGCGGCACCUCCAACUCGAUCAGAGGAUAGAAAGAUCAUCUAUAUUCAGAGCCACUCGUAAGUACUACAUGCUCAAUUAAUAAGUUUAGAAUUUAAUAAUUUUAGAGUUAACAUUUAUUCUUCAAAAUUAAUUUUGCAGCAUAUUCAGAGAGCCUUCUACAUCUCAUGUCGUUAUCAGAAUCAUAUGUCGAUUG